rnacentral:rRNA from 1 species
GUAAAGCACUUUCAGUAGGGAGGAAGGUAGUGUAGUUAACACCUGCAUUAUUUGACGUUACCUACAGAAGAAGCACCGGCUAACUCCGUGCCAGCAGCCGCGGUAAUACGGAGGGUGCGAGCGUUAAUCGGAAUUACUGGGCGUAAAGCGCAUGCAGGCGGCCUGUUAAGUCAGAUGUGAAAGACCCGGGGCGUUAACCUCGGAAUUGCAUUUGAAACUGGCAGGCUAGAGUCUUGUAGAGGGGGGUAGGAAGUUUCAGGUGUAGCGGUGAAAUGCGUAGAGAUCUGAAGGAAUACCAGUGGCGAAGGCGGCCCCCUGGACAAAGACUGACGCUCAGAUGCGAAAGCGUGGGGAGCAAACAGGAUUAGAUACCCUGGUAG